CACGUAGGGCGCAAGCGUUGUCCGGAAUUAUUGGGCGUAAAGAGCUCGUAGGCGGUCUGUUGCGUCCGCUGUGAAAACUCGGGGAUUAACCCCGAGCCUGCAGUGGAUACGGGCAGACUAGAGGUAGGUAGGGGAGAAUGGAAUUCCCGGUGUAGCGGUGAAAUGCGCAGAUAUCGGGAGGAACACCGGUGGCGAAGGCGGUAUCCUGGACCGGUAUUGACGCUGAGGCGCGAAAGCUAGGGGAGCAAACGGG
rnacentral:rRNA from 1 species